rnacentral:rRNA from 1 species
GACGUACGACCCAAACGUUAUUCGGAAUUACUGGGCUUAAAGAGUCCGUAGGCGGCCAAGAAAGUUGGGUGUGAAAUACCUCAGCUCAACUGAGGAAUUGCGCUCAAAACUACUUGGCUCGAGAAAGACAGAGGUGAGCGGAACUGAUGGUGGAGCGGUGAAAUGCAUUGAUACCAUCAGGAACACCGGUGGCGAAAGCGGCUCACUGGGUCGUUUCUGACGCUGAGGGACGAAAGCUAGGGGAGCGAACGGG